CGAGAAGGGAACGGCGGGGGGGGGUGGCUUAACACAUGCAAGUCGGACGGGUAAGGACCCCUUCGGGGGGUACACGAAGUGGCGAACGGGGUGAGUAAACGGGUGGGGUAACCUACCCAGAGGUGGGGGGAUAGCCCCGGGAAACCGGGGGGGUAAUACCGCAUACGUCGCAGAAAACACAAGUUUUUUGCGGGAAAGGCGGGGGAUCCUUCGGGGACCUGUCGUCUCUGGAUGGGCCCGCGUCCGAUUAGCUUGUUGGUGAGGUAACGGCUCACCAAGGCUGCGAUCGGUAGCCGGCCUGAGAGGGCGAACGGCCACAUUGGGACUGAGACACGGCCCAGACUCCUACGGGAGGCAGCAGUGGGGAAUCUUGGGCAAUGGGGGAAACCCUGACCCAGCGACGCCGCGUGGAGGAUGACGGCCUUCGGGUUGUAAACUCCUGUCAGGUGGGAAGAAGAACUUGUCGGAUAAUACCCGGCAGGGAUUGACGGUACCACCAAAGGAAGCCCCGGCUAACUCCGUGCCAGCAGCCGCGGUAAUACGGAGGGGGCAAGCGUUAUUCGGAUUUACUGGGCGUAAAGCGCACGUAGGCGGCAUGGCAAGUCGCAGGUGAAAGCCCUCGGCUCAACCGAGGAACUGCCUGCGAAACUACUUUGCUUGAGUCCGGGAGGGGGGAGCGGAAUUCCCAGUGUAGCGGUGAAAUGCGUAGAUACUGGGAGGAACACCGGUGGCGAAGGCGGCUCCCUGGACCGGAACUGACGCUGAGGUGCGAAAGCGUGGGUAGCAAACAGGAUUAGAUACCCUGGUAGUCCACGCCGUAAACGAUGGGCACUAGGUGCAGCGGGUGUCGACCCCUGCUGUGCCGAAGUUAACGCAUUAAGUGCCCCGCCGGGAGAGCUGACGA
rnacentral:rRNA from 1 species